AUCCCAUGGUGGGGACAUUAUCUCAAAAGUUCCUUAAAUUGUUCCCAAGCAUCAAAUAAAGACUCAUAUUCCUCUUUCCUAAAUUAUGUGAUUUCAUUCCUCAUUUU